GACGUAGGGCGCGAGCGUUGUCCGGAUUUAUUGGGCGUAAAGAGCUCGUAGGCGGCUUGUCGCGUCGACUGUGAAAACCCGCGGCUCAACCGCGGGCCUGCAGCCGAUACGGGCAGGCUAGAGUUCGGUAGGGGAGACUGGAAUUCCUGGUGUAGCGGUGAAAUGCGCAGAUAUCCGGAGGAACACCAAAGGCGAAGGCAGUGUCCUGGGGAGUACCUGACGCUCAGGUGCGAAAGCCAGGGGAGCGAACGGG
rnacentral:rRNA from 1 species